UACGGAGGGGGCUAGCGUUGUCCGAAGUUACUGGGCGUAAAGCGCGCGUAGGCGGGUUGGUAAGUCCGCUGUGAAAGCCCGGAGCUUAACUCCGGAGGGUCGGUGGAUACUGCCAGUCUUGAAGGUGCUAGGGGGAGAUGGAAUUACCGGUGUAGCGGUGAAAUGCGUAGAUAUCGGUAGGAACACCAGUGGCGAAGGCGGUCUCCUGGGGCAUUCUUGACGCUGAGGCACGAAAGCUAGGGGAGCAAACAGG
rnacentral:rRNA from 1 species